CUACACAAACAAUUCACACCAUUCAAAAUAAUGUAACUUGUACCAAUGUUUCCGGUUUUAGACGAUAAGUAACAAAAUGAGCCCAUUGAAAUGUGUGAUGAGGUUUCAUUUGUUGGUGCAGGAUUUGUUGAUGGUAAAGAAUUAGCUGGAGGUUGAAGUGAUGAUUUCUGUGGAUUUCGGAAACGCUUCACCUUUGGCAUG